UACGUAGGGGGCGAGCGUUGUCCGGAUUUAUUGGGCGUAAAGCGCUCGUAGGCGGUUUGUCGCGUCGGUUGUGAAAACCCAAGGCUCAACCUUGGGCCUGCAAUCGAUACGGGCAGACUAGAGUACUGCAGGGGAGACUGGAAUUCCUGGUGUAGCGGUGGAAUGCGCAGAUAUCAGGAGGAACACCGGUGGCGAAGGCGGGUCUCUGGGCAGUAACUGACGCUGAGGAGCGAAAGCCAGGGGAGCAAACGGG
rnacentral:rRNA from 1 species